rnacentral:rRNA from 1 species
AGGACGAACGCUGGCGGCUUGCUUAACACAUGCAAGUCGAGCGGUGAUCCUCCUUCGGGAGGUGAGCAGCGGCGAACGGGUGAGUAACACGUGGGCAACCUGCCCCUCACACUGGGAUAACCUCGGGAAACCGGGGCUAAUACCGGAUAUGACCUCGAGCGGCAUCUCUUGAGGUGGAAAGCUCCGACGGUGAGGGAUGGGCCCGCGGCCUAUCAGCUUGUUGGUGGGGUAAUGGCCUACCAAGGCGACGACGGGUA